AUUGAACGCUGGCGGCAGGCCUAACACAUGCAAGUCGAGCGGAGCGGCGGACGGGUGAGUGAUGCCUAGGAAUCUGCCUGGUAGUGGGGGAUAACGUCCGGAAACGGAAGCUAAUACCACAUACUCUCAGAUGAGCCUAGGUCGGAUUAGCUAGUUGGUGGGGAAAAGGCCUACCUAGGCGACGAUCCGUAACUGGUCUGAGAGGAUGAUCAGGCACACUGGAACUGAGACACGGUCCAGACUCCUACGGGAGGCAGCAGUGGGGAAUAUUGGACAAUGGGCGAAAGCCUGAUCCAGCCAUGCCGCGUGUGUGAAGAAGGUCUUCGGAUUGUAAAGCACUUUAAGUUGGGAGGCGUUACCAACAGAAUAAGCACCGGCUAACUACGUGCCAGCAGCCGCGGUAAUUC
rnacentral:rRNA from 1 species